AACGCAUCUUGCGCUCCUUGGUAUUCCGAGGAGCAUGCCUGUUUGAGUGUCAUUAAAUUCUCAACCUUGAGCUCUUUUGCUUCAAGGCUUGGAUGUGGGGGUUUUGUUUGCAGGUCUUCACAGAUCUGCUCCCCUGAAAUGCAUUAGUGGUGCCUCUGUAGUGUGAGCGGCUAUUGGUGUGAUAACUAUCUACGCCAUUAGACGGCCUACGUCUCUUGAAUGAGAAAAGGGGAUCAGACUGCUUAUAACCGUCCAUUGCAUGGACAAAUAAACAUGACAAUUUGGCCUCAAAUCAGGUAGGACUACCCGCUGAACUUAA
rnacentral:misc_RNA from 1 species